UACGAAGGGGGCUAGCGUUGCUCGGAAUCACUGGGCGUAAAGCGCACGUAGGCGGCUUUUUAAGUCAGGGGUGAAAUCCUGGAGCUCAACUCCAGAACUGCCUUUGAUACUGGGAAGCUCGAGUCCGGGAGAGGUGAGUGGAACUCCGAGUGUAGAGGUGAAAUUCGUAGAUAUUCGGAAGAACACCAGUGGCGAAGGCGGCUCACUGGCCCGGUGCUGACGCUGAGGUGCGAAAGCGUGGGGAGCAAACAGG
rnacentral:rRNA from 1 species